rnacentral:lncRNA from 1 species
CUAUUAAAAAAUACAAUGGGUAUGCAAAAUUAAUCAACAAACACAAGAAUUCAACUAAAUUACUUGUCUUGAAUUAAAAAUAAAUAAAAAUAGGGUUCAUCUUCAUCCAAUAUAUGAGAGGAAUUUAGCCUAACAUAAUGUUGGAAUUUAAACACACAAAAAAGGAAAGACAUUACAGAUAAAUUGACGGAACGUGAUUAAUUCCACAAAUUUGCUCAACUUUUGCGCGUGUAUGUUGAUAAUUCCUAGGCAGCCAUCCACUUGUAUGUGUGUGUCUAAUUCCCAGUUGGCGUGUAUGUAUAUAAUUCCGGCCAAAACUCUCCUCCUGCCCAAUUGCCGUUUAUUGAUACGUGUGUAUAUAUAUAAAAAAAUCAGCCCACUUCUUCCCUGAAUUCCUUCUGCCGGCCACCAAUUUGUAUGUAUAUAAAAUCUGAUUUAGCCACACCUUUAUGUAUCUGAAUUCCUCCUUUUUGUGCUUUUUGUCUAUUUUUUUUCCAGCGAACUUUCUGCCUUUUUCUCUCCCAUGGUUGACGUGUGAUGUGUAUCUUCCUUCCACCAGUUGGCUGCUCGUACAUUAAAGGUAGCCGUCCAACUUCCUUUCUCCCCCGUAUACGUGAUGUGUGUGUGUGUGUAUAUAUAUAAAACAACAGCCGGC